rnacentral:rRNA from 1 species
CGUGGAUCGAUUUGUCUGGUUUAUUCCGAUAACGAGCGAGACUCUAGCCUACUAAAUAGUAACGGGAUUGCCUAUGUCCCGCUUGCUUCUUAGAGGGAUUUUCGGUGUUUAGCCGCACGAGAUUGAGCAAUAACAGGUCUGUGAUGCCCUUAGAUGUCCGGGGCUGCACGCGCGCUACACUGGCGAAAUCAACGUGCUGUAUCCAUUCUCGAAAGGGAUUGGUAAACCCAUGAAAAUUUGCCGUGCUUGGGAUCGGAAAUUGCAAUUAUUUUCCGUGAACGAGGAAUUCCAAGUAAGUGCGAGUCAUCAACUCGCUCUGAAUACGUCCCUGCCCUUUGUAC